rnacentral:rRNA from 1 species
UCCGGCUGAUCGCGCCGGAUCCCACUGCUAUCAGGUUCCGACUAAGGCAUGCAAGUCGAGGGUGCCAGCAAGGCGCCCGGCGAAAGGCUCCGUAACACGUUGUCAAUCUGCCGUCAGGACGAGGACAAUCACGGGAAACUGUGGCUAAUCCUCGAUAGGAUACGAGUACUGGAAGGUCCGUAUCCCAAAGGGUUCUAGUUAUUGCUACUAGUGCCGCCAGACGAUGAGACUGCGGCGGAUUAGCAUGAUGUGGUGUAAUGGACCACAUAAGCUCUGAUCCGUACCGGUUCUUAGCGGAAGAGCCGGGAGACAGGGACUGAGACACUGCCCUGAGCGCUACGGCGUGCAGCAGCGACGAAACGUCACCCAUGCAAGAAAUUGUGAGUGCGGGAACCUGAGUGCCAGGCUAACGCUUGGCUGUCGCCGAAUCUACAACGUUCGGUUAGGAAGGAGAGGACCAGGCUGGUGCCAGCCCCCGCGGUAAAACCAGCUCUUCAAGUGGUGGGAAUGAUUACUGGGCCUAAAGCAUUCGUAGCGGGGCUAGUAGGUCAUUGGUUAAAUCCUGCAGCUUAACUGCAGGCCUGCUAGUGAUACCACUAGCCUUGGGACUGGGAUAGGCACUCUGUACUCACGAGGUAUCGGUGAAAUGAGGUGAUCUCGUGGGGACAACCUGUGGCGAAGGCGGAGUGCUGGAACAGGUUCGACCGUGAGGAAUGAAAGGAUGGGGAGAAAAGUGGAUUAGAGACCCAUGUAUUCCAUCCCGUAAACGAUGCUCGCUAGGUGUUUCCCUGACCACGAGUCUUGGAAGUGCCGGAGUGAAGACGUUAAGCGAGCCGCCUGGGAAGUACGUACGCAAGUAUGAAACUUAAGCGAAUUGACGGGGACCAGCCUUAAGGCGUGAAAGAUGCGGUUUAAUUGGACCCAACGCCAGGAAACUUACCUGGGUACAGGUUACUGUGAAGGUCAAGCUGAUGACUUUACCUGAGUCUCCGAGUGUAGUGCAUGGCCGGUUCAAAUUUGUGGCGUGAGCUGCUCUGUUAAGUCAGAAAACAAAUGAGACCUCCGUCGCUAAUUGCUAGCAUGGGCGUCAGCCUGAUGAGCACAAUAGCGAGAUCGCUGUCGCCAAGACAGAUGAGAGUGGAGGCCACACCAGGUCCGUAUGCUCAUAAUACCCAGGGCUACACGCGUCUUGCAAUGGUUCGGACAAUGCGUUGCGAAUCCGAGAGGCUAAGCUAAUCGUCAACCCGAAUCCCAGUUGGGACUGAGCGCUGCAACCGCGCUCAUGAACGUGGAAUGCCUAGUACAGGCGUGUCAAUAUCGCGCCUGGAAUGCAACCCCUGGUCUUGCACACACCGCCCGUCGUUGCAGGUGAGUGGAUUUGGGCCGAGGCCCUGCUUUUUGGCAGGUUCGAAGUUCAGGUCCGUGAAUCGGCAAAAGUCGUAACAAGGUA